CCCUGACCCAGGGGCAGCGACGUGGGAUCCUCCACUCAGGCCCACAGCCCAAGAUUCCGUAGUCCAAGAUUCCAGAAGAAGAAUCCAGGAUGGGAAGGGUGGGGUCAGAGGGAGAAUGCUGAAAGAAGGUUCUGGAAGGUUCGGGGUGUCCCCCUUGGCCGGCUCGCUCUCCACGUGCUCUUGGGGCCCAACGACUCGUCCUUCCCCUGAUGUCUUCUCUGGGGCUGGAUGUGUCUUCACAAGCCGCCAACCUGCAAGUCCAAACUCGACUGUGACUUCGCUGUGGGCCCAAGUGUCAGCAGUCGAUCUGUUAUCAGUUGAUGGCGGGCUCGUUUCUCAGAAGCCAGGCGCGCGCGCACGCACGUGCCGGAGCCCCAUUCUCUGGUGUGGAUCAUCUCUGCAUCCGUUCUGGAAUAAUACUUUCAGGAGCACUGUUUCCAUUCGCAGUGAGUCGUGACCGUGCCUGUGUCUCAGUCCUCGUGCUUUUUCCUGAGCGAUGCCUCGCAUUCCGAAGACGCGCAGGUUGUAACAGAAUGAGGGUAGGAUUCGAGAACCGUCCGGACCUGAGCAACCCCCACCCCCACCGAGUUACCCUGAGCCCCAGAGACAGCCAGCCCCCCUCCGCCCGCCCUGCCUGGGACAGCGCUGCCAGUCUGGGCGUCCCGUGGCCACCGUGUCAUGUGUCCCGGGAGUGGAGAGGGGCGGCCAGCAGGCUGAGUCGGCGGACCUUCGCCCUCCUGCAGGGAACAACUCUGGUGACUGAAAAGUAACCCCGUGUACCCACCGUGCUUGUGGGCAUUGAAACCCCCAGGCUCUCUGCCAGGGUCAGCGUGUUGGGGACUUUGGGCCGGUUUUGUACACGGUGAACAUCAGUCCGGGGGCCGCUUUGGUUUCAUGUUGUUUUGUGGGAAGAUUUUGGUUUUGAGGUGAUCUCCACGCCCGGCGUGGGGCUGGAACUCCCCACCCAGAGAUCCGGGGUCCCAAGCUUCAGGGAGCCAGCCAGGCGCCCCGCGGGGCUGCUUUGGUUUUGUAAGUGAACCUUCCAAGGAGGAGAAAGACACUGCUCAAAUCUGACUCUUUCUUAAGUGGUGAAUCCACUGGAAACUUACACUUCUAUUUCUGGAUGGAAUACAUUUCCCCAACCCCAUCACCGCUGAGGGAAGCAUUUUCUGUCAUGCUUGCUUCCAUUGAUAAACUGAGUUCGUUAAACUCUCUUACGUAUUUUCAGCCGCAUGUGGGACUUUAGCUUGUGUUACGUUUUAAGUUUUUCCAUUGUCCAUAAAUUCUUCUAAGCCAUAAGUAAUUUUUCACUUCACAUGGGAUUUAGCAGUGCAGGGACUUGCUCCCUCCUCUUCCACCUUUGCCUUCUCCCUCCCUCCCUCCUUCCUUCUCUCCCUACCUUCCCCUCCUCUCUUGCCCCACUUUCCUUCUCCUCUCCCCCCCUCCCUCCCCUACCUUUUUUUCUCCUCCCCUCUCCUCCCCUCCCCUCCCCUUUCCUUCCCUUCCCUCCAUCCCCUCUGGCCACUCUCCUCAUUUCCAUUCCCCUCCCUUCCCCUCCUCUCCCUUUCCCUCUCUUUCCCUCCACUCCUCUCCUCUCUCCUCUCUUCCCCUCCCUUCCUCUCUUCCCCUUCCCUGCCUCCCUUCCUCUCCCUUUGCCUACCUGAAGGAUUGGGUCCUAGAGUCUUUCAGGUGGGACAGCACUGCUUCUUGUGGGUGGGGAUCUGGGUGGCCCUAGUGGGAUGAGGGGGUGUGAUUCCACUGUGGUGUCAGAGGGAAUGGGUGAGGAGGGUGCUUGGAGAGGGUGGUCCUCAGGACCAGGGUGGGGGGUGGGUUGGAGAGGAGAAAUCAGAACGUGGCUUUGAUUUGGCGUCAGGCUUUCUUGGUUUCCUUGGCCUUGGGUUUGAAAUGGCUCCUCAGACUUCCAUUGUGUUUCAAGACCUUGACAAUUGAGAAGCUUGGAGGCGGAUGUACCCUCAUCGCCAGCUACAGGUUAGGCACUGUUGGCUGAAGAGCCACAGAAGCAACAGCGCCUGCCUCCUCCAGCUGCCUGGCCCCUCGCGUGUCCCAUGGCUGCCAUGUGAGGACAGAGCAAGAAGGAUCCAUCUAUGAACCAGGAAUCAGGUUCACACCAGACGCCCGAUGUGCUGGCGCCGUGAUCGUGGACGUCCCAGCCUCCAGAACCACGAGAAAUAAAUUCCUGAUGUUUGUAAGCCGCCGGUGGGUGGGAUUUUUGUUAUAACAGCCCCGACAGAGUAAGACCACAUCAGUAUGGACCCAUGGACUCAUGGGGCUGUCCAAGGAGCCCCAGUGCUGUGAACGCUUCCUCCCUUCCCGACCCAGGAAGCUGUUCCAGGCGAUGAGGGGCCGUGGGGCAAGCUGAGGGCAAGGUGCCGGUUAACAGCCCCCCCCCCCCCGGGGGGGAUAUGUGUGAUAUUCCUUGCACACCCUCCACUACCCAAAAACAGGAAAGGACAAAAAAACAAACGGUUGAACUGGUAAGAGUCUCCACCAGUUUAUAAGAAACAGGCAAUCCCAUCCUGCCUAAAGUCCAGGAACUCCUUACAGUCUUUUUUUGUUUUUUUAAUGUUUAUUUUUGAGAGAGAGAGAGAGAGAGGGAAUGGGGGAGGAAGACACAGAAUCCAAAGCAGGCUCCAGGCUCUAAGCUGUCAGCAUAGAGCCCAUCGCAGGGCUUGAACUCACGAACGGAGGUCACGACUUGAGCCUGGCUGCUUAACCAACUGAGCCACCCAGGGGACCCUGAACUUCCUACUGUCUUAAUGUUAAUGCUUUGCUAGAGGGAAAAACAGCCUUAGAUUGACAAUAGGUAGGCCUCCAGUAAGACUGUAAGCAUGUGAAAGUCUCUUUGGAAACUCUCUUGACUUUAUCUACCUGCCCCCCACCCCGUAAAACAGUCACCCCCCCCCCCCACAUCUGCAGCGGCCCACGGGUCCUGUCCCCGUGCUUUAAUAAAAUCACCUUUUUGCACCAAA